GCCAGCAGCCAUAUCACUCUGCAACUCACAACUGGCAACCCUCUAAAGCUAAGCAGGUGUGAGCCUGGUCCAUACCUGCUUGGGAGACCUCCUGGGAAAAACUAAGGUUGCUGCUGGAA
rfam:Lepisosteus oculatus linkage group LG1, whole genome shotgun sequence.